GGGGGUAUAGCUCAGCUGGCUAGAGCGCUUGCAUGGCAUGCAAGAGGUCGUCGGUUCGACUCCGUCUACCUCCA
rnacentral:tRNA from 2 species